AUUCUCCUAAUUUUACUUAAAAACAUUCGAUUUACGUUCGAUUGCGAUCCAAUCCCGACUCGAUUACGAUUGAAACCGCUCGUGAACGCUGAUGGUAUUGAAGAGUAAAACUGAAUGCCUACAAUCGGAUGAGAUUAUAACUGCGAAAGACUUGUGGAGCCAAUAAUGACGACGACCAGACAAGAUUCUUGUGUGUAGAUUACUGCUUGAUACACACUACGCCUGAUGGCGAUUAGACACCUCCACCGUGAUGAAACAUUUUACCAGGUACCCGAGACAUUGGACAAUCAGAUGGCUGGAAAGCAGGUGGCAAGUGAGAGUGCUUGGCCUCUGCAUCAGUAAAGAGAGGCAGGUGGCAAGUGAGAGUGCUUGGCCUCUGCAACAGUAAAGAGAGGCAGGUGGCAAGUGAGAGUGCUUGGCCUCUGCAUCAGUAAAGAGAGGCAGGUGGCAAGUGAGAGUGCUUGGCCUCUGCAACAGUAAAGAGAGGCAGGUGGCAAGUGAGAGUGCUUGGCCUCUGCAUCAGUAAAGAGAGGCAGGUGGCAAGUGAGAGUGCUUGGCCUCUGCAACAGUAAAGAGAAGCAGGUGGCAAGUGAGAGUGCUUGGCCUCUGCAUCAGUAAAGAGAGGCAGGUGGCAAGUGAGAGUGCUUGGCCUCUGCAUCAGUAAAGAGAAGCAGGUGGCAAGUGAGAGUGCUUGGCCUGUAAGCUUACAAUGUAGUAAAUGAUGUCAUUGCUUGAAGUUGUACAGUGACUGGCAAGUGAGAGUGCUUGGCCAGUGAAGCUAUGAAAAGAUAUGGUAACAAAUGUAGAAUAUAAAAAUAUUAAUAUCAGAUCUGUUUGAAAACUUGAUUACCCAGUAUACAUAUCUUUUCUUUGAAUUGUAUAAAUUAUUUUGCUAGUAAAAAUUGCACUAAAA